CUUUUUUGUUGUUGGACUAUACCGUUAAAAUCAGUGGGCUCCAGUGUUGUUUGGUUCUCAAUGUUUUUUCCCUUCCACAGAAGAGUCAUUAUGGUUUGAAUGACAUGAGGCUGAAUAAAUGUUGACAGAAUAUUCAUUUAUGGGUAAACUAUCCCUAUAAGCAAUUUGCUCUGUAUGUAAUUUGAAAAGAGAAUAAAUGGAUUUCAGUUGUGUUUUCAUGUAGGGAGUGAUGAAGAAAAAUCCAAGGGAAGGAGUAACCGCAUAAGUGAAACAGAAAUAGAUGAAAUGGGAAGAAUAGGGAAUCUGUGAGUGAGGAAACAAGACAGUGAGCGAGCUGGUGAAUGAGAGCGAGGGAGGGAGAGAUAGGCAGAAGGAACUUGUUGCCCCUGGUUGGUGUUGUGUAAGACUUGGCUGGCUGUAGCAGAAUAACACUCUUAUUCUCUCAGUGCUUUGAACUCUGGUACCCUACAGCUCCGACCACCCCUCUUUGCAACAGCAAGAACUCACAUUGAGGUCCCUCUCUCUUUCUCUCUCUCUGUCUCUCUCUCGCUCUCUCUCUGUGUCUAUUUCACUCUCCCCUUUCCUGCUGUGUCGCACUUCUCUUUCUCUUUCCUUAAGUCGUACCUCUGCUUCAUUCUCAUUUGUCUUUCACUUUCUCCCACAUGUGCUUGUCUGAUUCAGAUGUGCUGCUGUACCUUUUUGCAUUUGUAGAAAGUUUAUGAUAUUUUUUUCUGUCCUGUUGGACUGAGAACAGGCGUGUACGGCUUCAUCAGCUGUGUCGUCACGUGUGAUGCUACCGGCUCUACACCGACCCGAUCUGGACUGCACAUGAGCCACAUAGCUGGAGGGUGUAUGGUGUGGGAACGGAGAUGGGGGAUGUCCCUGUGUUCUUCACAGCCCGGGCAGCCAGGCUGUCAGGGACAGGCCCUGGUGGUGAAGCCUGUGAGGAGUUUGCAGAGAUGUCCCGCUCAACAAUGGUAAGAGCCAUCAGUUUUUCGUGUGAAUGGGAAGUUUCUGCUCAUGUCAGACUUACGGGGAACCUUUAUCUUGGUUUUAACCUCAAACCGUCACUGAUGGAAGUAUGUAUCAUGACUCAUUUGUCAUGUGGUCAUUUUGUUUCUGAAUUACUCUGCACCUCAACAGCCAAUCAUAUCACUAAAAUAUAUCCUUUGUGA
ensembl:lncRNA